rnacentral:sRNA from 1 species
GCCAGGUGCAGUGGUGCACACCUGUAAUCUCGGCAACUUGGGAGGCUGAGGCAGGAGGAUCGUGAGUUCAAAGCCAGCCUCACCAAUUUAAUAAGGCCCCAGGUAACUUAGUGAGACCCUGUCUCAA